rnacentral:rRNA from 1 species
UACAUAGGGUGCUAGCGUUGCUCGGAAUUAUUGGGCGUAAAGCACAUGUAGGAGGAUUUAAAAGUCAGAAGUGCAAUUCCUGGGCUUAACCCAGGCGCUGCUUCUGAUACUUUAAAUCUAGAGUAAGAUAGAGGAUAGUGGAAUUCUUAGUGUAGGGGUAAAAUCCGUAGAUAUUAAGAGGAACACCGAAAGCGAAGGCAGCUAUCUGGGUCUUUACUGACUCUGAGAUGUGAAAGCGUGGGGAGCAAACAGG